CUGGGGUACUAGUGUAAGAAAUAACACGUAAAAAAAAAAAAACUGCAUAGUUUCCUAGGAACGCGAAGCGAGGCGGCCAUCUCUGUGUAGAGAUAUCUGGCAAAGCGUGCACGGACUCUCGUUCGUUAAAACCAUCCUCUUGCUACCAAUUUGUUGAUGAAUCGAUACAGGAGACCAAGUUGAAACACUGGACAGGGUGGAUCAGGACCUGAACCCUAGGACUAUGCCUCAGGGCUACCUGGCAUGAAGACUCCUUGUUGUCCCCAGUCCACCUGGCUGUGCUGCUGCUCCAGUUUCAACUGUUCUGCCUGCGGCAAUGGAACCCUGACCUGUUCACUGGACGUGCUACCUGUCCCAGACCUGCUGUUUUCAACUCUCUAGAGACAGCAGGAGCGGUAGAGAUGCUCCCAAUGAUCGGCUAUGAAAAGCCAACUGACACUUACUCCUGAGGUGCUGACUUGUUGCACCCUCGACAACUACUGUGAUUAUUAUUAUUUGACCAUGCUGGUCAUUUAUGAACAUUUGAACAUCUUGGCCAUGUUCUGUUAUAAUCUUGUUGUGUCUUUGGCUAUGCCGGAUUAAGUGGUAUGACAUGCUAUUCUAUAAAAUAAUUUCUACGUAAUUAAUAUUACCUGAUUGAGCUAAUCAUGUAAAUGUAAUUAACUAGAGAGUCGGGGCACCACAAAAUAAUAUUUAUAGAGUUGCUAUCUUCUGAAUGAACUCUUAAAGACCUAGUAAUAUUUUACAUCAAUAGCAGUCGAUAUUAAUCGUCACCUUAAUUCAGUCUCAUCUGAAAGUUGUAAAUUCUUGGUUAUCUUCACGAACCCUGGCUAACAAGUUGAAUCAGCAGUAAAAAAUUGGGUUUAAUUAUUUAUUUACUAAAUACCUAACUAAUCACACAGAAUUACAUAUACACAGAAUGAAUUAUACCUUGAUUACAAAUUACGUCAUAAAGGAAAACGUCCCUAGCGGGUGGAACAGAUAUGACAGCUGGUUACACAAAAGAAAAGGGCAGGGUUUGAGUGAAAGAGCGGGAAGACUGAGGGACAAAGGAAGAAGUUGUGCUAUUGUAAAUACAGUAUCUUAUGCAUUCUAAAUUACCGCCCAUUUGGAAAAGGAAAAUGCAAUAAAUAUUUACUUUGAGCUGCGCUUCGGUAGGUUGGUGGUAGAUGAAAGGCCGUGUUGCCAAACCUAAAUCCUUUGUCCUUUGAAGAAUGUCUCUGGUGGUCAAUUGGAUACGUUGCAGUAACGUUGUUGUGUGAUAGACGGAAUACUCUGUCUGUUCCUUCCUAACCCUCGUUUGCAGAUGCUGUUGCUAACUCAACGGCUAGGAAGUAUCACUUCUGUAGGGAAUAAGAGUUCAAAUUUCAUACCAUUCGCAACCAAAGCUCACGCUGAUGUUGGCUUCGUUCUGUAGUUAUUAUCUGAACCAUUCUGACAUCGGACCGUCGUCCUCACAUCCUCGGAACAGGAGGUUACAUUUUCGUCAAGGGCUUAUAUAGUGGAGGGAGAAAAGGGGUGUGUUUCAUAGUUUACAACGUAUGUAUCUGUCCCCCCCCCUAACUCUAUAGGUCCAUCUCUCACUCUCUUUAUGAUUAUCCUUCUAUGCAUUGGACACACACACACACACACACCGUUAUGACUUGUCUUCGUCAUCUUCUCUUGUUUCCCUGCAGUGAUUGUCCCUGUGCAAACAGUGUGGACUCACUCAGAUAACAGUUGCCCCAGUAAGCAGUUAUGAGACCAUUUUUAUGGAUCCCCCAAACUGGAUGUAACAUUUGGUUUCAGAGAGUUAAACCACUGGGGAUCAUGUGGUUUCAGAGAGUUAAACCACUGGGGAUCAUGUGGUUUCAGAGAGUUAAACCACUGGUGAUCAUGUGGCUUCAGAGAGUUAAACCACUGGUGAUCAUGUGGCUUCAGAGAGUUAAACCACUGGUGAUCAUGUGGCUUCAGAGAGUUAUUAAACCACUGGUGAUCAUGUGGCUUCAGAGAGUUAAACCACUGGUGAUAUCUAUCAAUGUAGCUGUAUAGUAACCAUUAACCUAUGCCAUCACGGACAGCAGAUGAGUGUUUGGUUUCUGUGCAUGUGUGUGUGUUUGGUUUGCGUUUGUAUAUGUGUGUGUGUGUGUGUGCACCCUUGUGUGUUUAUGAGGGAGGGAAAGUCAUUGAGAGAAGGUGUCUGCAAUAUUUGAGGGACCAUGUUGUAAGACCACAUAAUAUGACCACUCAGUAUACCAGACGUACUCCUAUAGCUCCUUACACCAGCCUCCUCUGCUAUAUAGAGUUGAAGUCGGAAGUUUACAUACACUUAGGUUGGAGUUAUUAAAACUCGUUUUUCAACCACUCCACACAUUUCUUGUUAACACAUAUUCCUUUAGCAGAUGCACUUUAAUUUAGAUUACGAGGAAGUCUUUUAAUGGCUGCAUUGUACAACAAUUGCUUUAUGAUGCAAUUACAUUAAUACAAUCAUGCAUAUCAGUCAUUAUUAUGUAUAACAAGAGGUUCUAUCACUUAUGAUGAGUCAUUAAAGCUGGGAUCCUUAAUUGAAACAAUAACAAAGCGGCUAAGCCCGCCUCUGUUUUGGUAAAAAGCUGAGGGAUGGGCCUGGAGAAAUGAAACCACUUUCAAAUUUAAAGCAAGAGCUAUGUAUGUAAGGACUGACCAUCCAUGAUAUCAAUAUUAUUGUUUUAACCAUGUUUUGAGGCUGUACAGUGUUUGUUUACAUUGACUUUGUUUACAAACAUUGGAGUAUAACAAGCCUAUAUUUUGGGUUAAGAUGCUGUAUGACAGUUGAACUAAGCCCUUGAGGCAUUUAGAAGUUAUAUUCUUCAAGAACCAAUGGCUAUAAUGUAUAUCAUUAAGUCCUAAAAUGGAUGUAGUAAAUAAGGAUUGUAGCUAUAAAAUGUGUUUGUGAGUAUGGCAUCACUGUGUUUCACUGACCUUUAUAAUGAAUGUCAUUAAAUACC
ensembl:lncRNA